rnacentral:misc_RNA from 1 species
GUUAAUUUCAGCACCUUCAAUCCUGCAAUGAACCAAAUGGUAGCAUUACCUUCACAAGUAAAUGGACAGCCAGAAAACACUGGCAAUGGAAAAAGGCCAAUUCAUACUUCAUGAGCGCUCAACUGACAGUGCUAGAGGGCUAGUUUCAAAUGCAUAAAACAAGAAAUAAAUCUACCACAAAUUUUAAGAUUUUAAGACUUAAAGUUUAUUUAAUUUAGAAAAUCCCAGAAUUUAUAACAACAGUUUACCAUCAAUACUGAGGUUGAUAAACAGGUAAAAGGAAAACAAAAUGGCUCUGCCAACCCCAACUAAAUCAGAUAACAAUAAUUAGCCCGGUCACCACCAGCUAAAUUAGUUCCACUCAUUGAGAAUAGUAUGAAUAUGCACUCAAGUAUUUAUUGCAAUGAAAACAGCAACAUCAAAAAGGCAGACACACAAAUAGUGAUAUCAACCAAGCUUUUUCACAAUAUUCUAAUAUUAAAAGACAGUUCAAACCAUGUUUACAUUUAGUAUCCAUAAUUUUCCAAACAAUGUUGACAUUUCUAGAAUUUCAAUAAAAUAGCUUCCAUAUUAUACCCCUUUAAUUAUAACUUUUGCAGAUGAGACAAGCAUACUGCAUACGACAUAAUGAACAAGUUAAUAAACACCACAUCCUUUGAACCUUGUAUGUGCACACUGCUCACAGAAGCUUCAUGCUAAACAAUUGAAUAAGACCCAUAUUAAGAAAUCUUCCCUAUUUACACACUACACAUGUAAAACACAGAUCUCAAUUUUUGUAAGUGAAAAACUAUACCAGAUUUGCUCAAGAUAAACUUUCAUUGACAAAUUAACAAAGUUCAAGGAACACCUAAAUCAAAUUAGAGUGCAAACGAGGUACCUUGUUUGUCGGUCAUUAUCGGU